rnacentral:rRNA from 1 species
GGAAGGUCGGAGGCUGAGUAUGUCUGGGAACUGCCUGAUGGAGGGGGAUAACUACUGGAAACGGUAGCUAAUACCGCAUAACGUCGCAAGACCAAAGAGGGGGACCUUCGGGCCUCUUGCCAUCGGAUGUGCCCAGAUGGGAUUAGCUAGUAGGUGGGGUAACGGCUCACCUAGGCGACGAUCCCUAGCUGGUCUGAGAGGAUGACCAGCCACACUGGAACUGAGACACGGUCCAGACUCCUACGGGAGGCAGCAGUGGGGAAUAUUGCACAAUGGGCGCAAGCCUGAUGCAGCCAUGCCGCGUGUAUGAAGAAGGCCUUCGGGUUGUAAAGUACUUUCAGCGGGGAGGAAGGGAGU